rnacentral:tRNA from 1 species
GCCCCUAUAGCUCAGUUGGUAGAGCUACGGACUUUUAAUCCGCAGGUGUUGACGAUCUGACCUGCGGAAACGCUAGAAUCAUGGGGCAGUCGUGGGGCA